GGGGGAAAGAGACGAGCAUAGGUUCCUCCCAAGAUGCCACCCGCUUCAUUCAAGUGUCUGGCAGCACUGUGUUCCUGUUAGAGCCACCAGCACAAGCACCAGACAAUGCUGAUCCAGGUGAAGGCCCCAGUGCAGCAGCAACAGCACAUGAUGGAGACGAUGAUGAGGAGGAGACCAUCUCUCUGGAUUCCAGAAGGCAUGAGGACCCAGAUGCUAUACAGUGGGAAAACCAGCCUGGCAACAUAGUGCGUAUUAAUAAAAGGACACCACAUCCUGCCAAAUUCCAGCUGCGCUAAUUGUAUUGUGUUCACAGAGCUCACAAGCUAUCAGAAAGUUGUAUGGCAACCACCUCCGGCGCCAAAUAGAACUGGCAGACAUAGACAUUCAGUACAAGAAGAAAAAGAUGGAAAAUCUUGCACUGGAGUCCGAAAUAAAAAAGAGGACAAUUAGGAAACUGGACCUUGAAAUAAAAAAACUUGAGAGGGAGGUGAGAUAUGCCUUCAAUGUACACUGUAUGCUAACUGUAACACAAAUGUAUUAAUCAUUAUUUUUCU